AGGAGACCUGACCGGAGUCUCUCACGGCCUUCGGGGUGGCCCGUCGCUGGCACACAGCCCGAGCCUGCUCACAGCUGCCAGCCAGCUGGCCAGAGUGGCUGCUGGGGCUGCUCAUCACUGAACCAACCCAGCAGAUAGCUGUGCUGAGAAAGGAAUGAUAGGCCUCUGAGACAAAACCUAAGCCUACCAAACACAGGACUGUAUCAUCAGUGCCGCCAUUCGGAGCCAGAGGGCAGCUCUGACACACUUUUGUGGGGCGUCGUGCUGUGGUGAGUGUGGCCGAGGACUGGGGACAAGCCCUGCACCUGGCAGAACUACAGGACCCACCGCGCUGGGUCAGAGUGAGGAUUACCCCAGGAAGAGCUGCACGCUGGGCGGAGCAGGCCUUGCACAGGCAGGGCUGUCUGGCUCAGCACCUGUGUCCAGGUCCUAAGGAAGCUUAUAGACACUGUGGGCCAGCUAUAAGGACUUGCUUUCUAACCACAAAACAACAAGACGUCAGAUUAUUUUAAUAACUCAUGACUGAGUGGGAAGACUGUAAAGAACUAUCUUUAGAGCCAGGUGUGGUAGCACAAGCCCAUCACUCCAGGAGGCUGAGGCAGGAGGACCACAAGUUUGAGCCCAGCCUGGGCAAUUUAACAACUUAGAAAGACCUGUGUAAAAAUACAAAAUAAAAAGAGGCUGGGUUGUGGCUCAACACGAAGGCCCUGUGUUCAAUCCACAGUAUCACAAAGAGUAAAAUUUUUCCUAAAGGACCCCGCC
rnacentral:lncRNA from 1 species